AGUCUCUUCUCGGUCGUUGAUGUUGAAAAUUGUGUGUGAUUUUAGUAGCGGAAAAAAUAUUUGUGUUUUUAAAAUUAUAAUUUAAUUUUUGUUCUUUAGUUUGACCUCCCCCUUUCCUUUAUUUUAUUCGUUGUUGGUUUUCGAUUUGUUUGUGCAAAUUAUAUACACACAUACUAACUACCACCCGCAUGUGGUAGAUACAAAAAUAUUCGUAGAAAAAGAAAUAACAACAAAUAUUAUAAACAAUAUUUUGCGUGUGAACAAAAAAAAAAAAAAAAUAAUAUAUAUUAAAAGCAACAACAACAGUGCAAAAGUGGCUGUAUAAAUAAAUAUGUACAUUGUACAUACAACAAAUACGAAAAGAAUCAAAUUAAAUUAAUUAAACAAAAGUGCUUAGAAGUGCAAAAGAAAUAAAUAAAUUUACAUUAAAUGCUAAUUGAAGAAAAUAAAAAAUUACAAAGCAAAUUAUUGAAAGAGUUAAAAUUGAGCCGCAAAAAAGUCUGAAAAAAUAAUUCGUAUUAGAUUUAAUGCUAAUGCAACUAAUGAAUGAAAUAAUCAAAAAGGAAGUGUAAUAAAUAUUGUCUAUAAAAGAAGAAAAAAAAAGGAAAUCAUAAAAAGAAAAUAUUAAGUUAGUGAAAAAUCGUUAAAAUAUUGUGGAAAAUAUAUGUUUAUAAAACUAUUAAAUAGUGUUGUUUAAAAUAUUAAUUGAGUAAAAAAUACAACAACAAAAUUUAAGAGCGGAUAUUGUUUGUUUUUUUUUUUUUUAAUUGUUCCUCCUUCAUUUACAAUAUUUAUUGCAAAAGAUACAAUAAACACCAUACCAUACACCAACAAAAUGGCUUAGAUGUGGCAACAGAAUUGUAAUGCGAAAAGUUCUUAAACCUUUAAAAAACAACACCAUUUAAUAUGCAUACAUGACAUAACAGCGACAUCCAACAGCAAUUAUAUGCCCAUGGAACUCCAACUAUAAGCAGGCUGCAAUGGAAAAAUAACACAAAAAUAACGUAAAACGUUAAAAUUGCUAAAUAAAAUACAUUCCUAUAAUAAUUAUACACUAAAACGCACACACACACAUACUCUCCUCCGACUUACAAAUUAGUCGCGACUCGUCCAUUUUGUACUGGUAUUUAUUACAAAACUAGUUUUUGCCAACUUGAGCUAAAAUUCUGUUAGAUUGCAACAAAAUAUUGUACAAAAAAAAAAAAAAAAACAAUAAAAUAAGUUACAAACUUUUAAAGUGA